rnacentral:sRNA from 1 species
UCUGGGCACGGUGGUGCAUACCUGUAAUCCCAGUGGCUCGGAGGCUGAGGCAGGAGGAUCACAUGUUCAAAUCCAGCCUCAGCAAAAGUGAGGCCCUAAGCAACUCAGUGAGACCCUGUCUCUA